AACGAACGCUGGCGGCAUGCCUAACACAUGCAAGUCGAACGAGACCUUCGGGUCUAGUGGCGCACGGGUGCGUAACGCGUGGGAAUCUACCCUUGGGUUCGGAAUAACUCAGAGAAAUUUGAGCUAAUACCGGAUGAUGUCGCAAGACCAAAGAUUUAUCGCCCAAGGAUGAGCCCGCGUAGGAUUAGCUUGUUGGUGAGGUAAAAGCUCACCAAGGCGACGAUCCUUAGCUGGUCUGAGAGGAUGAUCAGCUACACUGGGACUGAGACACGGCCCAGACUCCUACGGGAGGCAGCAGUGGGGAAUAUUGGACAAUGGGCGGAAAGCCUGAUCCAGCAAUGCCGCGUGAGUGAUGAAGGCCUUAGGGUUGUAAAGCUCUUUUACCCGGGAUGAUAAUGACAGUACCGGGAGAAUAAGCCCGGCUAACUCCGUGCCAGCAGCCGGCGUAA
rnacentral:rRNA from 1 species